rnacentral:ncRNA from 1 species
GGGUGCUAGCUGCAGAGUGCAGUGAAGCAGGUUAAUCGAACAUCGCCGGUCGGGCCGCCAGCG